ACAAGAUGUAGCUUAAUAAAAACUCCUCGUUUACACCGAGGAAAUAUCUGUUUAAACCAGAUCAUCUUGA
rnacentral:tRNA from 1 species